rnacentral:rRNA from 1 species
AGUGAACGCUGGCGGCAGGCCUAACACAUGCAAGUCGAGCGGCAGCGCGUCCGACCACCCUCGGGUGGUCGGAUGGCGGCGAGCGGCGGACGGGUGAGGAAUGCAUCGGAAUCUGCCUCGUUGUGGGGGAUAACGUAGGGAAACUUACGCUAAUACCGCAUACGACCUACGGGUGAAAGUGGGGGACCUUCGGGCCUCACGCGAUGAGAUGAGCCGAUGCCGGAUUAGCUAGUUGGCGGGGUAAAGGCCCACCAAGGCGACGAUCCGUAGCUGGUCUGAGAGGACGACCAGCCACACUGGGACUGAGACACGGCCCAGACUCCUACGGGAGGCAGCAGUGGGGAAUUUUGGACAAUGGGGGCAACCCUGAUCCAGCCAUACCGCGUGAAUGAAGAAGGCC